ensembl:vault_RNA Vault Vault RNA
GGGCUGGCUAUAGCUCAGCGGUUCCUUCGACCGCAUCGUGAUUCAACCACCCUUCCGAGAGUGGUUCGAGACCCGCGGGCGCUCUCCAGCUCUUUU